CUUCCUUUGAGCUAUAUUUGUAUAAAUAUAUUCAUAUAUGUUUCAAAGUUAUGGGAAACUCCUAUAAUUCUGAUACAUCUUCAUGGACAUUAUCAGUAAAAAUUAUAAUUGUUACAUUAAAAUUAUUGUGUGUCACAGAGAUAAAAGGUAUCUUUGUUGAUUGCAUCUUUAACUAUGUCUACCUUAAAACACUUUGUCAUCCAUAAACAAUUGUUGUCUUGUUUUGUUCCUCUUUAGAAGAUGGUUUUGUAAUCAGCUAUAAACCUCUAACAGGUGCUCUGAAAUGCAGGUUUCUGAUAAUUUUAGAGAGUGUAACAUCAGAAUAGAAGAAAACAUUCAGAACACUUGAAAAGCUAAAAUGUUCACUAAUAUCAAGCAGGAUAAGAAUUAACUGUAUUAACUAAACUAAAAGGAGGAUUGAGUAAUCUCUUUAAAGUUUUGCUUAGAACAUUGUUAAUUCUUUGUUUUGCUUUUCAAAGUCAAAUAAAUUUUUCUUUUGAGCUAUUAACAGCUUGUAACAAUUUAGUAUACUCCCGUAAACAAAAUUUGGAGCAUACUUGUUUCUCUAUACCUGAUUUUCUACAGAAUUUGGAAACUAUCUGUUGAGUAUUCUUAAGUUAUGGCAGUAUGGUUAUUUCCAUAAGUGCAAUAAGAAUCUGUUUUCUUUUGUAACAGGGCACAUUUAGAAAAGCUGGUUAUUUUUACCAACACUUUAACUGGAAUUAUAUGCUUUCCUUUAAGGAAUCAAACUUGACUUACAAAGCAAAAAGGCCCUUGGAAAACUCACUGCAUAUUUUGUGUACACAGUCCCUGUACAUGGUUUCUGAUCUGUGGUAAGUAAAAAAAUUACUUUCUAGCAGGCUGGGAAGCCCAAGUUAUCUUGGUCCCUCAAGAGAAGAGAAAUUCUCCAACUAAUAGGUAUUGGACAGUAAAAAUCCAUGGCUGGGCUUCGCUUUAAAAAGGUCUUAUCUCAGAUUCCUUCUUUGAAACAAAGUGCCAUAUAAACCAAUUUAAUAGGCAGAUGUAACAAAUAAUUAUUCUUGCUGCACUGUAUGCAAAUAACUGUCAAGUAUAGUAAAGCAAACCAGUCCUAUUAUAAUUUGUCUUUUAAUAAAAAUGGGAAACUGGAGAGACAAAAUUAUGUUUCAAAAAUGAUAGCACAUGGAUUGUUGAAUUCUAGUGUUUCCUAAUGUUUUUCUAUUUUUAUUAUUUUCCACUGCUUAAAUUAAACUCUAAUUUUUCUGGAUAUAAGUUUCCAUAUUAAGCUGUGAUUUCUUAAAGCCCUACAAACUGAAAAGUAAGUGUUUCAUCAAGUACUGCCUCUAACACAGGGCCACCACAGGAAUAAAUGUCUUCACUGCUGGUGCUGACAACUAAUAACUGAGGGUGCUGAGAAAACUUUCCCCCAAAGUCUAGUGAGUCCAUGAAAUGCAGGGUGAUUAAGAUGAUAUCUGAUACAGGAGUCAAUUCCUAAAUACAUCACUCAAGUCAAAGCCUAGAAAUCUAAGAAAGCAACCCAAACAGCCCAAAGAAACACCCUAAAUAUCAAUGUAAAAAAAUAGAAAAUAUUAAGCUGAAAAUCAUAAAAGAUAGGUGACUAAGUGAAAACUACUCAUUUUAUUCAGCCUCACACACCUCACCAAAUACUUUUGGUGUGUCUACCUCUUUUUUUAAGCCAAAUAUUAAAACAUUUUAAUGGAAAUUAUUUACUUUGCCACCCUUGUGGGAACUGCCUUACUCACUGCUAUUUGCAGUAGAACAAUAUGCUAUAGCAUCCUCAGGGUGGAAUAUCAGACAAAAAAAUCUCAAUUAUUAUAGCAUUUUCCCUAAUUAUUAUCCAGAUAGCAGGAAUAAUAGUUACUAAAAGAAAGUAACACAUGAGUUCUUCCAAACACAUGCUUCUGCCUCUCAUCAGGUAACAAAUGUUUCUAUAGCAACGAAUAGGGCUUAGUAAAAAACACUGCUAAAAACUUAAAGAAAAGGCUAAAAAGCUAAGGGAAUAUCAAAACAACCGAAUAGAUUCUUGGUUUGGAUUCAAAAUCAUAGGAUGAGUCAUCCCAUUCCUGGGACCUCUUCUAAUAAUAUACCUGGAACUAAUGUUCUUACCUUGCCUAAUUAACUUUUUUCAAAGAUUUUUAACUGAAAAUAUCAUGGCCAUUUUACAGACAACUACCCCAAAAUAUCUACAAAUGACAUUGCUCCUACAGUAAACCCAAGACCAGAAAACUCUCCAUCCCCUUGUCAGCAGGAAGUAGCCUGCAGUCCCUCCUCCUUUUUAUAACCAUAGGAUCUGGAUUGACAGAGCAGGACCACCACCUUGUUGGAACAACCCCUCAUUCUAAAGCUGACCUCAAUAAAAAACUGCUUAAAUCCAAAGGGUGUCAGCCUAAUGGCUAAGGUCAGCAUGACCAUAAACCACAGAUAACUUCUCUAACCAGAAACAUUCCAAACUCCUCCCCAACCAGAGAUAGGGUAGUCCUGAGAUAAACUCUGCUCUGGCUGGGAAAAUGCUAGCCCUGAGAUAACCCCCUUCUUGGUCAGAAAGAUGUCUGCCCCAAGAUAACCUUACCUCCUGCCAGAGAGAUUCCAACUCCGCUAUAAACUUCUCCACACACAUAAACAUUCCAAGCUUGUGAUAAGCCCCCUCAACCUAAAAGUGAUAUAUACUCAGCUUUUAAGAGAAAGUACUCCUGACUGAAAUUGGCCAGAAGCACCUCUCAGGUUUCCUCUAAAGAAAACCUGUCUUUACCUGCCAGCCGCAUUUCUUGUUUCUUUCCUCUUUAACUCCUACAGAAAUAAAAGCACAACAAGGUUUUCUUAAGAUUUCAAUGUGCUUUUUAGAAAAUCUUGUGAAGAGUUAUAAAAGGUACAUGAAAAUCUCACAUCAUGAUCAAACUGGUUAAAAUUGAAUAGGAUUACCUAUAAGCUUUCAUUAAAAAUUGGGGUUAACCAUUAAUAGUAAAAUAAUGCAAGGGUGAAAUUUAACUUGCUUGAACAGGGUUUUCAUGUAAUAGUAAAGACUGAUGAAUGGUUUUUGGCUUUUCAAAUUUUGACUCAUCAUUUUGGCAAGACAAAUAACUAUGUUAAUCUAAAAUUGUAUUUCAUAACAUCAAGUGUUUUAAAUUUCAAAUAUAUUUAACAGGCUUACCAAAAUCAAACUACAGUCUCAAGGUUGUCUUUCAUGACCUAGGGGUUUGGGUGCUACCGAGGACCCCUGGAGCAUCCAGAAGAGAGUUAAACAGGAUUAUUUAACAUGUUUGCAUACAUGAUGUCAGGCCUCUGAGCCCAAGCUAAGCCAUUAUAUUCCCUGUGACAUGAACGUAUACAUCCAGAUGGCUGAAAACAACUGAAGAUCCACAAAAGAAGUGAAAAUAGCCUUAACUGAUGACAUUCCAUGAUUGUGAAGUUUCUACCCCACCCUAACCGAUCAAUGUACUUUGUAAUCUCCCCCACCAUUAAGAAGGUUCUUUGUAAUUCUCCCGACCCCUGAGAAUAUACUUUGUGAGAUCCACCCACUGCCCACAAAACAUUUCUCCUAACUCCACCGUCUAUCCCAAAAGCUAUAAGAACUAAUGAUAAUUCCACCACCCUUUGCUGACUCUCUUUUUGGACUCAGCUCACCUGCACCCUGGUGAAAUAAACAGCCUGUUGCUCACACAAAGCUUGUUUGGUGACCUCUUCACAUGGAUGUAUGAGACACAUGCAAUUGCCAAAAUGAUAUUUAAUAUUUUCCAGGUUAUAUUUUGGGCAAUAAUAUUAACAUAUAUUUCAAAAUCAUAUAGGAUUUCUAAGGUUCUAGUAUCUGAACAUGUGCUAUUAAUCACAAUUAAGUGUGUUAAGUUGGUUUAUGGUGAACCAUAAAAAUAACCAAAUUUGUCCAACAUGUUCUUGACUGUAACUACCCUGGAAAUUUUGUCAUUUACUGACAAUUUUUGUCUUGUUUCAAUCUUCUUCUUCUUAAAAAAAAAUAGAUUAUAAUCAGCUGUAGAACUUUAACAGGGAUUCUUUCAAAUGCUGGUUUCUAAUAACAGAAAAACUUACAGGACACAUGAAAAGUAGAAACUGAACUAGUAGAAAACUAAAGCAAUAUUCUUGACUUAUGCUUGGAACAUUGCUGAUUCUUAUUUUGUUUUUCAGAGUCAAGGACACUUGUCUUGAGCUAGCUACACCCUUUCACAACUCAGUAAGGAGUGAAGACUGAUUUUGCAGAGCCAAUAAAGGCCCCUGGGGAAACUGGCCUCAUAUCUUGUCAUGAAGAUUUUAUACAGGUUUCCUAACCUGUGGUGAGUAAAGAAUGUCCCUCUCUAACAGGUCUACCCCAUGCUCUUGGAACCUCAAGAAGAGACAAGUUUACCCAACUCACAGUGCUCACUGCUGCAAAGAAGAACAAGCACACAGGCAAAAAGUUUUCCCAGCAAGAAUGCCAGGGUGAAAGGAAAGAUCAAUUGGACCAGAGCACAAGUGCUGCUCCAGUUACUUGGCAGAGUACCUAAUAGUGAUCCACCACAAUACCACCAUAUAUCUGUUUGGGAAUAAACAAGGGCAAGUUGACUGCUUAAGAGUGAUGACAUGCAACUCAGUCUCUUGCAACACCACCUGAGAAAAGGAAGCACUAGCAGGAAGAACAAAUUGAUGGAGAGGAAAAGUGAUGAAUACAGAUAAGAAGCACAGCUGGUGGAGGCUCAUGUGCCAGUUUACUGGGCCUCAGGACAUUCUCCUCUAGAAGGAGGAGACAGCAUGACCCCCACUUUCUUUUAUUUUAUUAUAAUUUAAGUUUUAGGGUACAUGAGCACAAUGUGCAGGUUAGUUACAUAUGUA